UACGUAGGGGGCAAGCGUUGUCCGGAUUUAUUGGGCGUAAAGAGCGUGUAGGCGGCUUUACAGGUCCGUUGUGAAAACUCGAGGCUCAACCUCGAGACGCCGGUGGAAACCAUAUGGCUAGAGUCCGGAAGAGGAGAGUGGAAUUCCUGGUGUAGCGGUGAAAUGCGCAGAUAUCAGGAAGAACACCAAUGGCGAAGGCAGCUCUCUGGGACGGUACUGACGCUGAGACGCGAAAGCGUGGGGAGCGAACAGG
rnacentral:rRNA from 1 species